rnacentral:rRNA from 1 species
ACGCUCGACACCUACGGGAGGCAGCAGUGGGGAAUAUUGCACAAUGGGGGAAACCCUGAUGCAGCGACGCCGCGUGAAGGAAGAAGUAUCUCGGUAUGUAAACUUCUAUCAGCAGGGAAGAAAGUGACGGUACCUGACUAAGAAGCCCCGGCUAACUACGUGCCACAGCCGCGGUAAUCUGAGCGGGCCGUGGCGAAGGC